CAAAUGGCUCAUUAUAUAAGUUAUCGUUUAUUUGAUGGUACCUUACUACUUGGAUAACCGUGGUAAUUCUAGAGCUAAUACAUGCUGAAAAUCCCGACUUCGGAAGGGAUGUAUUUAUUAGAUUCAAAACCAAUGCCCUCUGGGCUCACUGGUGAUUCAUGAUAACUGCUCGAAUCGCACGGCCUUGCGCCGGCGAUGGCUCAUUCAAAUUUCUUCCCUAUCAACUUUCGAUGUUUGGGUAGUGGCCAAACAUGGUUGCAACGGGUAACGGAGGGUUAGGGCUCGACCCCGGAGAAGGAGCCUGAGAAACGGCUACUACAUCCAAGGAAGGCAGCAGGCGCGCAAAUUACCCAAUCCCGACACGGGGAGGUAGUGACAAUAAAUACUGAUACAGGGCUCUUUUGGGUCUUGUAAUUGGAAUGAGUACAAUUUAAAUCCCUUAACGAGGAACAAUUGGAGGGCAAGUCUGGUGCCAGCAGCCGCGGUAAUUCCAGCUCCAAUAGCGUAUAUUAAAGUUGUUGUGGUUAAAAAGCUCGUAGUUGAACCUUGGGCCUGGCUGGCCGGUCCGCCUCACCGCGUGUACUGGUCCGGCCGGGCCUUUCCCUCUGUGGAACCCCAUGCCCUUCGCUGGGCGUGGCGGGGAAACAGGACUUUUACUUUGAAAAAAUUAGAGUGCUCCAGGCAGGCCUAUGCUCGAAUACAUUAGCAUGGAAUAAUGAAAUAGGACGCGCGGUUCUAUUUUGUUGGUUUCUAGGACCGCCGUAAUGAUUAAUAGGGACAGUCGGGGGCAUCAGUAUUCAAUAGUCAGAGGUGAAAUUCUUGGAUCUAUUGAAGACUAACUACUGCGAAAGCAUUUGUCAAGGAUGUUUUCAUUAAUCAGGAACGAAAGUUAGGGGAUCGAAGACGAUCAGAUACCGUCGUAGUCUUAACCAUAAACUAUGCCGACUAGGGAUCGGA
rnacentral:rRNA from 1 species